UACGGGGGGGGCAAGCGUUGCUCGGAAUUACUGGGCGUAAAGGGCGCGUAGGCGGUUCGCUAAGUUGGAUGUGAAAACUCUGGGCUCAACCCAGAGCCUGCAUCCAAAACUGGCGGGCUAGAGUUCUGGAGGGGGUAGCGGAAUUCCUGGUGUAGCGGUGAAAUGCGUAGAUAUCAGGAGGAACACCGGUGGCGAAGGCGGGUCUCUGGGCAUUUCCUGACGCUGAGGCGCGAAAGCGUGGGGAGCAAACGGG
rnacentral:rRNA from 1 species